rnacentral:rRNA from 1 species
AACGAACGCUGGCGGUAUGCUUAACACAUGCAAGUCGAACGAACAAAAUUGGGGCUUGCUCCAAUUUUUAGUGAGUGGCAAACGGGUGAGUAACACGUGGGAAUCUACCCAUCAGUACGGAAUAACAUUUGGAAACAAAUGCUAAUACCGUAUAUUCUCUAAGGAGGAAAGAUUUAUCGCUGAUGGAUGAGCCCGCGUAAGAUUUAGGUAGUUGGUAGGGUAAUGGCCUACCAAGCCGACGAUCUUUAGCUGGUCUGAGAGGAUGAUCAGCCACACUGGGACUGAGACACGGCCCAGACUCCUGCGGAGGCAGCAG